UACGGAGGAUGCGAGCGUUAUCCGGAUUUAUUGGGUUUAAAGGGUGCGUAGGCGGACGCUUAAGUCAGCGGUAAAAUUGCGGGGCUCAACCUCGUCGAGCCGUUGAAACUGGGUGCCUUGAGUGGGCGAGAAGUACGCGGAAUGCGUGGUGUAGCGGUGAAAUGCAUAGAUAUCACGCAGAACUCCGAUUGCGAAGGCAGCGUACCGGCGCCCUACUGACGCUGAAGCACGAAGGCGUGGGUAUCGGACAGG
rnacentral:rRNA from 1 species